AGGGAAUAGAUACCCAGGUAGUCCUGGCAGUAAACGGUGCACGUUUGGUGUGGGCGCAAUCGACCGCGUCCGCGCCGGAGCUAAACGCGUUAAACGUGCCGCCUGGGAAGUACGGUCGCAAGAUUAAAACUCAAAGAAAUUGACGGGGACCCGCACAAGCGGUGGAGUAUGUGGCUUAAUUCGAUGCAACGUGAAGAACCUUACCUGGUCUUGACAUGCAUUGUGUCUCCGGUGAAAGCCGGAUAGGGUAGCAAUACCCGCUUUGCACAGGUGCUGCAUGGCUGUCGUCAGCUCGUGUCGUGAGAUGUUGGGUUAAAGUCCCGCAACGAGCGCAACCCCUGUGAUUUGUUGCCACCGGCUUAUGCCGAGCACUCGAAUCAGACUGCCUCGAUCAACGAGGAGGAAGGUGGGGAUGACGUCAAGUCCGUAUGGCCCUUACGACCAGGGCUGCACACGUACUACAAUGCCCAGUACAAUGUGAACCGAGACCGCGAGGUGGAGGAAAUCAAUAAAACCU
rnacentral:rRNA from 1 species